GGGAUCAGCUCGCGGAUGGUCGCGGAGCCCCGCCUGGCACGGCCCGGUGGGAUUCCCGUAGCGGCCUUCUGCCUCCCAUCAGCUUUCGCGGACUACAGCUCCCGUCAUGCAUCGCUGAACUACAGCUCCCGCCAUGCCCGGCGGUUCUACCCCUGCCGUACUACACCUCCCAGCACGCCCCACGCCCGUCCGGGCCCUGUCGCCUUCUGUCCUUCCCCCGCCUGCCGCGCGGACUACACUACCCAUGGCUCCUCGCGCGGGGCGACCAUCGGCGGACCGCGGCGGCGAUGCGCGGAGCAUGCCGGGAUCUGUAGUCCCCGCAGUGGCGGCGGCUGUAACGGUCCCGCUGGUGGUACUGCCCCCCCUACCCCCCCCAUUCCCGGCUGGCGGCUGCGGGAGCAGCGGGAAGAGGAGGAGGAGGAGGAGAGGGAGAGGGAGAGCUGCUGCACCGGCACAGGGGCCGCCGCCGCCCGAACAGCCGCAGAGCUCUGGAAUGCUGUGAAGACUCCCUGCCCAGGCACACUCCUCUCCGGAUUAUCUCCAUCCCAAGGAAGCUCGUAUCCAAGAGAGUUCCCGGUCUUCCACCAUGAAUCCUGUUUACAGCCCCGUCCAACCUGGGGCUCCCUACGGAAACCCGAAGAACAUGGCCUAUACAGGAAUAAGGAUGAAAUAUUGAUGAUGUCACGUGUGGAGCACAUUCGUGGUUCUUCCUGUCCCCAGAGAAUCCAGCUGUGUUUCCCCUCGGUGGCCUCUGUGCUCUCACAGGUUAUCCAACAGGCUAUCCCACUGCUGCCCCAGCCUACAAUCCCAACAUGUAUCCAACCAGCAGCCCCGGCUACGCCCCAGGGUACACCGCGGGGACCCCCUACAAGGUGCCACCAACCCAGAGUAACAACGCCCCUCCUCCCUACUCGCCGUCUCCGAACCCGUACCAGACCGCGAUGUACCCCAUCAGAAGUGCCUACCCCCAGCAGAACCUGUACACCCAGGGAGCUUAUUACACCCAGCCCGUGUACGCGGCCCAGCCUCACGUCAUCCACCACACCACGGUGGUGCAGCCCAACAGCAUCCCCUCGGCCAUCUACCCCGCGCCGGUGGCCGCGCCCCGCACCAACGGCGUGGCCAUGGGCAUGGUGGCUGGCACCACCAUGGCAAUGUCAGCAGGAACCUUGUUGACCACCCCCCAACACACCGCCAUCGGAGCACAUCCAGUGUCCGUGCCAACGUACAGGGCUCAAGGAACCCCCACCUACAGCUACGUACCUCCACACUGGUAAACCACUGGCCAAUCCAUAUCCGGAGUCAAACAUUGUAUGCAACUACACAAGUCUUACAUCGGUGCUGCGGCCGCUGGGCUGCAGCGCCUCGUCUGUUUGCAAGAACAAAAGAAAAAAAAAAAAAGUGCAAGGGUCACUUUAUGCAUUCUUUAGUGGUUUUUGUAAAAGCUGCUUUUUCUAAUCUUCUGCCUCUUUUUUUCCCCCCUUCCUCCCCCUCCCACAUGAAUUGUGUAACACACAUACUGACACUGAGCAAUAGUCAAGUUCUCUCUUCGGUCCUAUCAUUUGAAAGCUCAGAAUCUUCACUUUUCCAGCAUUGCCCAGCUGAGUGGUGCAAAGAUCCCCCCACUUCUUGUUCGUUUGGGUUCUUUUUGUUAUUUUUCUGUUGUCGUUGUUGUUGACAAGAGCCUAGAUUUUUUUUGGCUAGUAAGAGUGGUUGAUGUUCAGGGUACUAUGUGAAAAGCACAGCGCUGGUAGGCAGGCUUAUUCCGAUUUGGUUUGGGUAUUUUUAGUUGAAGAAUAUAAAUUAUUCAAUCUUUCAUAACAUAUUACAAGAAAAUUGGUGUCUUCCAGAUAGCUGUCGUGAUAGAUUAUAAAUGCAUUAUCUGCAGUGGAAUUCUGAACUCAUCCCUUCUUUUUGUAGGAGUAAGAGAAUAUAAAUAUAAUUAGCGACGUAACACACUUGUCUUAGGAAGCAGGAGGACUGGUCACCAGCGGGUCUUUGGUCUGCUUUUUCCAACUGGGCACACGGAUCAUGGGUGAUGGGAAGGGAGCAGCAGGAAGAUGCAUGCCCUGAGAGCAUCUGGAACCCCUUGGGAAAACGGGAUGCUCCCCCUCAGCCACGUCCUGGGGCAGUGUGAGGGAGAAGGCGGCUCCUUCCUUGCGUGGCUGCUGUUUGCAGGCACAGAUGUGCUGGGCAGCUGCUGAGGGAAGCAAGGAGAUGUCCAAAGGUUGGGCUGGAGAGCUUCUCCAGGUCCAAGGGUUGAUCUGGGGAGCUUUUCUCAGUUUAGGGUUUGGUCUGAGGAGCUCCUCCAGGUUUAGGGUUUGGUCUGAGGAGCUCCUCCAGGUUUAGGGUUUGGUCUGAGGAGCUCCUCCAGGUUUUGGGUUUGGUCUGAGGAGCUCCUCCAGGUUUAGGGUUUGGUCUGAGGAGCUCCUCCAGGUUUUGGGUUUGGUCUGAGGAGCUCCUCCAGGUUUUGGGUUUGGUCUGAGGAGCUCCUCUGUGUUCAGAGUUUGGUCUGAGGAGCUCCUCCAAGUUUCGGAUUUGGUCUGAAGAGCUUCUCCAGAGUAUGGUGGUGUGGGAAAAGAGGGUGUCUGGUUGAUGGAGAUGAGUCUUCAAGGCAGGGCGAGGGCAAGGUGGGUGGCUUCAGCUUGCACCCAUGGUGUUGGUGGGGCUGAGACCAAGCUGCACUGCCUCCGUGGCAGUUGAGGUGUCCCCCUCCCAUUCUUUGGGGUACAGCUCCAAGACUUCCAGGAGAAAUGUUCAUCCAAGCACAAAUACCAGCACCAUGGAGAAAGGCCGGGGAGGGGGGUGAUGUCUGCCUGCUCUGCUUGGAGAGGUGGGAGAGGAGGAAGCAAUAGCAAUAAACACGUCGCCUCCUUCACGGGAAGGCACCUGAGAAGAGGUGACAGCAGGGAAGGUGAUCCACAGUUGAUAUGGACCAGGAUGGGGGACACCAGGCACGCAGAGGCUGUGGGCACCAGGGUCAUUCUGGGGGGGUUUGGCUUACCUGGGGACAUGGGGACAGGAAGCUGGUGACAUCCCCCCUCGGGGUGUCCAAGUAGAGCAAUAAGUCUUGAGGGCAGCAGAGGCAGUUUGGAUUUGCAGACAAUGCUUGUGGCCAGUUUGUUUUUAAAUCCUUGUCACUAAACCCAGCAUAGAAACAAGGUUUUUGGGACUUUUUUGGGUUUUUUUUUUAAGACAAAAGCUUGGUUGGGUUUUGAUUUUUGCCUCAAGUGUGCCAAAAGUGUUCCGUGCUCUCGGUGGAGUCUCACAGCUUGGCUUGAGCUCCUGGAGCUCCUUCCCUUGAGCAUGGGCCAGGUGGAUAGUAACAAGCCUAGGGAUCCCAGGAGGACUUUCCUUCCCACUGGUUGGUCCCAGGAAGUUUGUCAGGUUGGGUGUUGGCACUUCUGUUUGGGGGUCAUUUGAUUGAUUCUGCUGGUUUUGAAGGAAAUCUAAAGCAAAGCUCUGGUUGACCUCCUCAGCCUCGAGAGGAACAAAGUGUGGGAAGACUGUGCUGUGGGGUGGGGAAGGGGCACCCUUGGGCUGCACUUUGGGGUGGUAUUGAGGGAAAGGAGAAGGAAAAAAGAGAAAAAGAGCCAAUCAUCAGUGGGUUCCCCAUGUGGCUUGGCAAAGCCAAAGAUUAGUAAAGAGCAACAGGACCUUGGGAAAUAACACCAACACACCAUCCUUGCACUGUUUGUAGCACACUGCAGUUAAACUUGGGCCAAAAAAAUCCCCAGAUCCUAAGAACUGAAGACUUCUGAGAUCCCCUUUUUUCCCCUCUCAGGCUGACUUUGUGUUACAUACCAGGAGCUGUCUGUCAGCAUUGAGUCAGGUCUCCCAGCGUGAUGGAGCUCUGGUUUGUGGGGUCCACGAGCUUUGGGAUCCCAGCCUGGGCUCUGCAAACGACCUGAACCAGCAGACACCAUCCCACCACUGUCCCAGACAGCCUGCACCACCUUAGGAACCACUCCUAAAAUACUGGCCCAUGUGUGGAAAGGAGAUGUUGGGGUUUCUCCUGGAAGGAAAAGAAACAUUAAAGGUGGGGGAGAAAGCCCCAGGAGUGGUGGAUCACCCAGUGUUCCCACUAUGAGCCCUGACACGGGGCAGUUGGGUUUUAACUUCUUUGCUUGGAUCCACAGCAGAUCCAGUGCUCCUUACCCCAUUAUUCCCAGGCAGAAAUACUGAUUAACCAAAGUGUGGAGAGGUGAAAUAUUUGCCACCUGUUGGGCCAGAGGCUUUAGUGAGGACAUUUGGUAACCAGCCUUGAGCCACUGUGUGGAACCAGAGCCACCACACAGUGCCAGGCUAGGGUAGCUCCUUCCCAAGGUGGGGAGAUGCUCCCUGCCCCUUCCUUGAUGAUCCCAAGUCUUUCCCUUUGUCAAGUCAUGGCUUAACUGAGGGUCCUGGGAAGGUCACAGUGGGGAACAGUGAUGGGAGCCACCAGCUUCUCAGAUAUUUCAUUCCAGCAAAGCUUUGCUGAUGUUGGUUAAGGAAAAGGGUUUUCCACAGUGAAGGAUCACACCGGGCAUCAGUGGGAAAGAGCACGAGGGGUUAAACCAUCCUUAGCAGCCACUGAAGUGUCUGAGAUUAAAAUUCCAGCUAAAGAGGAAGGAAAAAUAACUCUGAACCAUUAACCCAUCACAGACCUUACCUUUACUUCAAAACACAAGCUGCAAUGCAAGAUUUGGGGGGAAAAUGGGAUUUUAGUGGUGGUGGUGACCCCCAAAGCCCAGGAGCCCCUUGAAGCCUGAGGCCAUCAUGCCUCCAAGUGGCUGAACCCUCCAGGCAAGGAUCUGCUACUGCAAGUUAUGAAUAAUAAAUCACUCAGUUCAGCAUAGUUUCAGUUUUGGGAUGUAAUUCCCAGGAAAUGUUAUUUAAGGGGUUUGUUUUAACGAGGGGUGUUCAGAGCAUCAGGUUUUCCUCCAGGCACCAGCAUCCCACUGAAUCUGGUCCUUCCCAGAGAGACCCACCUGACUCUUUGUCAUCCCCUCUGGGAAUGUGGGGAGGAUGUGGUUCCCAGCUGGAGGGCAUGAAAUGGGAUCCUGGCUUUUCAGCAGGGUGGAAAACAACAUUUGAGGCUUUAUUUUUGGUAAAAUCCAACCAGCCAACAAUAGCAAUAACAGCUGCUGGAUACCCAUAAAUCCAGGUAUUUUUGGUUAGGGUUUUUAUUUUAAAAUUGCCAAUAUUUUCAGGCCCUCCAACUGUGGUGACCUUCUGCCCAUCUUCCCUUCACUUUGCUCCUGAGCCAGGAUCAGCCUCCAAAUAUUUUCUCUGCUGUGUGUUAGCAUUCCCUUAGAGGGGAAAAAAAAGAAAAUAAAGUCAGUGACGGAGCUUGGGAGGGAGGAAAUCCUUGGAAAAGGCAUUUCUGUGGCAUGUUGCACCAUGGCACUUGGAGAUUCUCUGGCAAUCAGGUAAAAGAACUUGUGGGAAUGUUUGCAUGGCAGGAAUAGCAAAAUUUGUGGUUUGACAGGAGCGAUUCCCAUUUGGAAGCGCUCGAUUGUGCUGCUUGCAGGGAAUAAUCUUGAUGCAACAUGGCCACCUGCAGCCUCCCUGCAUCCUCCUGCAAGAGAUGGAGCUGGGAGAUGGAAUUUUCCAGGGGGAAGAGGGGUUCAGGGUCAGGAGAAGGAUUUGUAGGGAAGCACGGCAAGGUGCAGGAUCACACCCAAACCCUCCCAUUCCACAACAUGGCCUCAACCCACACCAGGCUCCCACCCCUCUUUCUAUGUAAUUAAUUUUAAAUUGAUUUCAACCACCAGACCAGCUCAUUUUUAAGUAUAAUUGGACAUCUUAAAUAAAAAUAAAUACAAAAAAAAAUAAUUUCCCUGAAAGAACAGCAACAGGAAAAAUUUAAACCCAAGAGUAACCACGUCUUCCAAGUCUACAUCUCACAGGUGUGAAGGGAACAUGGCCUUGGACUGAUGCCCUGGAGAGCCCCACAGCCUCAGUUUGUCCAUCUGAAGUGUAAAUUUGGGGUUGUUUUCCCAUUUGUUUUCUGUUCUGGUUUUGGUUCUGAAGAUCAGGUCGUGAUCUCCCUGACAGAUUUCAGCCAAGAGUUUGUAACUGUACGAUAUUUACUGUAAGAUGUAGAACAUUCGAUAACUAUUAAAAUGUUUCCAAAAAAAUUAAAUAAAUAAAUAAAAGAGCCCGA